AACGAACGCUGGCGGCAUGCCUAACACAUGCAAGUCGAACGAGACCUUCGGGUCUAGUGGCGCACGGGUGCGUAACGCGUGGGAACCUGCCCUUAGGUUCGGAAUAACUCCCCGAAAGGGGUGCUAAUACCGGAUAAUGUCUUCGGACCAAAGAUUUAUCGCCUUUGGAUGGGCCCGCGUUGGAUUACCUAGUUGGUAGGGUAAAAGCCUUCCAAGGCGACGAUCCAUAGCUGGUCUGAGAGGAUGAUCAGCCACACUGGGACUGAGACACGGCCCAGACUCCUACGGGAGGCAGCAGUGGGGAAUAUUGGGCAAUGGGCGAAAGCCUGAUCCAGCAAUGCCGCGUGAGUGAUGAAGGCCUUAGGGUUGUAAAGCUCUUUUACCCGGGAUGAUAAUGAUAGUACCGGGAGAAUAAGCUCCGGCUAACUCCGUG
rnacentral:rRNA from 1 species